rnacentral:rRNA from 1 species
AACGAACGCUGGCGGCAUGCCUAACACAUGCAAGUCGAGCGAGACCUUCGGGUCUAGUGGCGCACGGGUGCGUAACGCGUGGGAACCUGCCCUUAGGUUCGGAAUAACUCCCCGAAAGGGGUGCUAAUACCGGAUAAUGUCUUCGGACCAAAGAUUUAUCGCCUUUGGAUGGGCCCGCGUUGGAUUAGCUAGUUGGUAGGGUAAAAGCCUACCAAGGCGACGAUCCAUAGCUGGUCUGAGAGGAUGAUCAGCCACACUGGGACUGAGACACGGCCCAGACUCCUACGGGAGGCAGCAGUGGGGAAUAGUGGACAAUGGGCGAAAGCCUGAUCCAGCAAUGCCGCGUGAGUGAUGAAGGCAUUAGGGUUGUAAAGCUCUUUUACCCGGGAUGAUAAUGACAGUACCGGGAGAAUAAGCUCCGGCUAACUCCGUG